AGUAGCUCCACCGCAUUCCGCUGACAGGCGCCCCAAGCAACCCUCCCCCGCGAGAAGGUCAAGUGCCACUGGAACGCUCUUCUUGGAGUCCCAAACUUGGGGUCACAUGCCACAGGGAAACUAAGUCUCUAAAGGGUCAAACAGUCCCCUCAAUGUCAAGCCAUGCUGGCCAAAGAUCCCUCUCGCAGACAGUGGCUGCUUUGAAGGCUGCAGACAGAUGUGCAUGGGGUUCUAAGAGAAUCAGAGGGCAUCUCUCAAAGGCUCAGCAGGUCUCAAGAUAGGAAAUGGCUUUCUCAUCACUGAGUCCUAGGAGGAGCAUGUGAGUGUAUCAAGAUGGAGGGUCAAGCGGAGCCCAGGUCUCUGCUCCUCCAGCUCCUCGGAUCACUCACAAGUUCCUUUUGUGCUGCUGUUGGUUCAUGGGAAG
rnacentral:lncRNA from 1 species